UACAGAGGGGGCAAGCGUUAUUCGGAAUUAUUGGGCGUAAAGGGCGCGUAGGCGGCCUGGCAAGUGGAAGGUGAAAUCCCUCGGCUUAACCGAGGAACUGCCUCCCAAACUGCUUGGCUUGAGACCGGGAGAGGUGAGUGGAAUUCCCAGUGUAGCGGUGAAAUGCGUAGAUAUUGGGAGGAACACCGGUGGCGAAGGCGGGUCUCUGGGCCGUAACUGACGCUGAGGAGCGAAAGCAUGGGGAGCGAACAGG
rnacentral:rRNA from 1 species